rnacentral:sRNA from 1 species
GCCGGGCGUGGUGGUGCACACCUGUCAUCCCAGCGGCUCAGGAGGCUGAGGCAGGGGGAUCGUGAGUUCAAAGCCAGCCUCAGCAAUUUAGUGAGGCCCUAAGCAACUCAGUGAGACCCUGUCUCUA